GAUGAACCGCUUUCGGGCGGGGAUUAGUGGCGAACGGGUGAGUAACACGUGGGCAAUCUGCCCUGCACUCUGGGACAAGCCCUGGAAACGGGGUCUAAUACCGGAUAUGACCGUCUGCCGCAUGGUGGAUGGUGUAAAGCUCCGGCGGUGCAGGAUGAGCCCGCGGCCUAUCAGCUUGUUGGUGAGGUAGUGGCUCACCAAGGCGACGACGGGUAGCCGGCCUGAGAGGGCGACCGGCCACACUGGGACUGAGACACGGCCCAGACUCCUACGGGAGGCAGCAGUGGGGAAUAUUGCACAAUGGGCGAAAGCCUGAUGCAGCGACGCCGCGUGAGGGAUGACGGCCUUCGGGUUGUAAACCUCUUUCAGCAGGGAAGAAGCGAAAGUGACGGUACCUGCAGAAGAAGCGCCGGCUAACUACGUGCCAGCAGCCGCGGUAAUACGUAGGGCGCAAGCGUUGUCCGGAAUUAUUGGGCGUAAAGAGCUCGUAGGCGGCUUGUCACGUCGGUUGUGAAAGCCCGGGGCUUAACCCCGGGUCUGCAGUCGAUACGGGAGGGCUAGAGUUCGGUAGGGGAGAUCGGAAUUCCUGGUGUAGCGGUGAAAUGCGCAGAUAUCAGGAGGAACACCGGUGGCGAAGGCGGAUCUCUGGGCCGAUACUGACGCUGAGGAGCGAAAGCGUGGGGAGCGAACAGGAUUAGAUACCCUGGUAGUCCACGCCGUAAACGGUGGGCACUA
rnacentral:rRNA from 1 species